rnacentral:sRNA from 1 species
CUCGGGGGUCCCAGUUCCGAACC